rnacentral:misc_RNA from 1 species
AACCUUAUGGACCUGCGGGCGUAUACCUGCGGAGGGAUCAUUACCGAGUUUACAACUCCCAAACCCCUGUGAACAUACCUAUACGUUGCCUCGGCGGAUCAGCCCGCGCCCUGUAAAACGGGACGGCCCGCCCGAGGACCCUAAACUCUGUUUUUAGUGGAACUUCUGAGUAAAACAAACAAAUAAAUCAAAACUUUUAACAACGGAUCU